UUAAUCCUCUGACCUGGACACCAACUGUGAUUUUCAUCUCUUUUUUAUCGCUCUUUCAGGAAGGUCCAGCAGCUUGCAUAUCUGCAUCUUCUUUUGGAGAGAAGAUAGGCGAGAGAAAACAUGCCAUGUCUGCAAACGGAGUCCCUGCCCUCUUUGCCUGCUGAAGGGAGGUAUGCAGUUUCCUCAGGCCGUAGGGGGUCUCAAGGGUCCAGAUCUAAGUCGGGUAAAAAGGGGAAGAAUGGAGAGAAGGGUUCACAGUGUGUCAUCACCAGUGCUUGGAUGGUUCUUCUCCCCUCUCUGGACCCCAGGGGCCAAAACCCAGAGACUGGGAUUCAGGAUGGGAAAGGAAAGUGAGAAAGUGAAGGCAUGGCUGGAUGAUCAUUCGGAUUCUGCCAGGUCUUACUUUAGCAGAUCCUCAAGGAUCUGAGAUUUCAGAUUGAACCGUAUGAGAGGGAAGAGGACAGACCCAAGAGUAUUCUCAGUGUGCCCAUCCUGAACCACAAAAAUGAGGACUGGUCCAUUGCAUUUUGGCAGGUUAUAGGUGCUGUCAUGGCUGUGAACAAAAGCAGGCCAAGCACAUGUGCAGGGAGCUUUUUCUCAGAACAAGAUGAGAAAAUGCUGUCGUCACACAUGGUGUUGUUCGGACUGAUCCUGGAAAAUUGUCAGCUGUGUGAGAGUUCUGAACAAGAGAGCAAACGCAACCAGAUGUCACACAGACUUUACUUUUACUUAGUUAGGCACUUUUAUCUAAAAUUAUUCAUCUGUUAAGGAUACAUAACAUGCUAAUCACAAAGAACUUUUUUUCUAGCUUGAAAUAAGAUAUUUUGGCAAUAUACUGUUACA